rnacentral:rRNA from 1 species
UACGGAGGGUGCAAGCGUUAUCCGGAUUCACUGGGUUUAAAGGGUGCGUAGGUGGGUUGGUAAGUCAGUGGUGAAAUCUCCAGGCUUAACUUGGAAACUGCCAUUGAUACUAUCAAUCUUGAAUACCGUGGAGGUCAGCGGAAUAUGUCAUGUAGCGGUGAAAUGCUUAGAUAUGACAUAGAACACCAAUUGCGAAGGCAGCUGGCUACACGAAUAUUGACACUGGAUGCACGAAAGCGUGGGGAGCGAACAGGAAUUAGAACCCCU